rnacentral:rRNA from 1 species
GAGACCAGACUACGUUGAAAACACCGAUUCUCGUUCAACCACCGAAGUUAGGCAAUAUCGGACACGAUUAGCACUUUUAUGGGUGAUCGACUGGAAGUAUCGGAUGUUGUGACCGGUU